ensembl:lncRNA
UUAUCUCCAAAAUAAAACCCUUUAUUUCCCUUUAUCAGAGACUAUUUUUCAGGCACAAGUGUCUAGAUUUGUCUCCAUGAAUCCUUGCACCAUGUUUACAAGGUUUGAUAGUGUCAUUAUUAAGAGAGAAACUGAGGCUCAGAGAGAAAGCACACUGAGUAUAGACAGGGUAUUCAAGGCAUGGUACUCUGAGGCCGCAGCUGAUUGCUAAAACCACUGGACACUAAGAUGUUCACUCUCUGACCUAAGGAUUGCAGAUUCUUUUCCAAUGUUUUGGUUGUGUUUAAAUUUCAUUUCCAGUGUAUUUUGUUAUGCAGAAGGCGAAAAUUUCUAUGCAACCAAGAACAUAAACAUGGACUCAUAUUUUCUUUCAAUAUGUUCAUAGUUUUCUUUUCUAACAUGGAGAUCUUUAGUUUGGCUGGAGUUGAUUUGGAUGAAGAUGUAGGGUGCGGUCAAACAUGAGUUUUGUCCUGGAGCCCAUGAUGAGCGAUGCCUCCUCCUCUCUGAACGCUGGCUGAUUGUUACACAGAGUUGUCACAUGCCCUCUUCCCAGAUCUUCGGGCUGCAGAAUUACUCAUCAGCGCUGGAAGCCUGCCCCCGCCAUGCUGUGGUGACCCUCAUCCCAGCGAGGCUCCCUCAGCUGGGCAGCCGUCUGCCCUGCGGUGAGGGGAAGGAAUUCAGCGUGAACUCUGCUCACUCAGCAGCCAGCCUCAAGGAGCUUGGGCUGUGGAAAAUCACAUGUGUUUUUCGAGUUGUUGGAAACCAAGGAAAUUGCUCCUCCAGUUGUGAAGUUGGCCAGAACACUGCCUGGAAGACCCCAGGUACCCACAGCUUGAGGAACCGCCCCUCCACAUGGGCUUGAGUAGGUGAGCCACUGGUGACAUCAGAGCGUCUGGGCUAUAGAGAAGGGGAUGUUGCUGUCUGGUCACCUCUUUGGCUCCAGAGCCCCUGAGAACAGGGACCCCAGGGCCCUGCUGGACCUCUGGGUCACAUCCAGGCGACACCUUGUUAAAAUCUCCAUAGAUGCUGCUGAGUGAACCAAAGUCACAGAUAGCUGCCUUUCAGACCUGUGCACACAGCCAGAGACGCGGAGGAAAUGGCGAUGACCAGGAGUCGUCUUCAUGGGCUCAGGAGGCUGAGAUAUGUGUCAGGCACAGAGCGUAUCAGAUGGAUUUUUGCUGAGACCUUUAGAUGCGCCCUGUCCCCUGAGGGAGCUGUAGCUCAGGAUGGGCUCAGAAGAACAUCUUCCAAGAGAGGCCACUCAGGACCUGGGUCCUGCUCGAGACCACAUUCCCUGGCCAUGGAGAGUGAGUGGGGGCAGUAGGAAGCUGUGGGGUCACCAUGCAGAUUUGGCAGAACUCUGAGGUCUGGAGGAAAGGAGAUGGGGCAGGGUUACCAGCAAGCCGGAGCAGGAUUGUUUCUCACAUCUCCCAGGCUGGCAUUGCCUCAAGGUCUGAACUGUGUCCUCUGCAAAGACAGAUGCUAACUGGAACCUUGCUUGUAGGUAGGGUGGGUCCAAAUGAGCAGACCCUUCCUCUCUGUGGCCUCUGAGCCACCCCUGCUAUCCCACCUGAAGGAGCAAAGACGUCAUUCAAAGUCACAGCCUGCUGCCUGGCUGCAGAACCAUGGCAGGAAGCAGGGCUGGCUUCCUCGGCCCCUUCCACCCCCAGCCCAGCAUCUCCCAGCAGGAAUGGGCCAAGCUCGGUCUGGAGUGAAGCUUCGCUUUCUCAUCCUGUGCACAGAAUCUCCCUCCCGAGGCCUGGUCCCAGGAUUGGCCUCUUGUAGCAGGAAGAUGGGUGGGGUGUCCUUUCUUCUAGGGAGAGAGGUGUUAGGGCAAGGGACAAAGAGGCCCUGGUGUCCCAUAUGACAGUGGUGUCAAGAUGCCCUGUCCUUCCCCUCAGCCUGCUGGGUCUGCUCAGGCUUCCCCAGGCAGGCAGCUCCCCUGCCAGGACAGGGCUCUUCCUCCUGGUCCUCUCCCCUUGUUUCCUCAUCUUUCUUGUCAGCUUCAGGCCUCCACCCUCAGAUGUCUCUGCUCCCCAAGAACUCUCCCUGCACCUCGCAGGAGCAAGGUGGGCUAGCCCAGACCCUUGGGUAGUCCCUGCCACAUACACCAAGGAAGCUGGAGGAAGGUGGGGUAGGGGCUGUCAUACCCCUGGGGUAGCUCAGAUAGCACCUGGAUGUGGACAUAAACGUCCUGCAAGUGGCAGGGACCAGGACCCAAGUGUUCCCAACUGGCCUUGGCUGUGCCCCUGGGGAGUUUGGCCCUGAUCCUGUGCCCCUCGAAGAGGAGGAACCAUGACAAGCCCUGUGGUUGCUCCCACCCCAGUAGAGUCCUGGGCUGGGGACAAAAGGGCUCCUGGAUGCAGCUUCAGGCUGAGCAGGGUCCCAGCCCCUUGGAGGUGGAGUCCUUGGCCCUCCUAGGCCCAGGUCCCCACCAGGGGCUCUGCUCAUGUUCCUGUUGGUGAUUCACUGCAGCUCAGGACCGCAGGUCCUUUUUUUGUUCUCUUAACAGCUUCUGUUUUCCCUGGCAGAAGACUCAGGGCCCAAAUCCAACCUGUGUGUGAGCCAUUCCCAGGGAAGUGACGUCCCAUGGCCCCCUACCAAGAGUCGCCUCCAGCAUGACACACUCAAGCCGGGACAGCAGAGCGAAUUCCCAGAACCAGCUCUGGGCGUGAUGAUUCAGCCUUUGGAGGGGUCGGUGGUGCAAGACAGCUUCCUUCAUCCUCACUGCCACCAGGACCAGGCUGGGCCAGCGGGCAGGCAGGCAAAGUCUGGCUGCCGGGGGCUGCUCUGAGCCGGGGGGACAGAAGGAGACAGUCCCCCGACUCGAGGUCUCCGAGGGAAACAAUGAGAGCCCAGGGCCCAUGGGGUGUGAGAGGGAACAUGUGGCCUGAUUCCACUUGAUCAGCACACAGUAGUUCCACUGAAGUCAGUCAAUGAGAUUAGAGGGCCACAGCCAGGAUUCACACCAGGGGCCAGCUCCGGGCACAGUGCUGGGCAGGCCUUGGAGGGUCCUUCCACCCGGGUGCAGGGGUGGGGGAGCCCAGGUCCCAGGCCAAGUGCUCCCUGACCACUUCUCUCUCAGCUCUCCCUGUGUGGUCACCUGAGAGCUCUGGGGUCACUAGCCAGCUCCAUCACAGACGACCUUGGGGUAGGGCCGCUGACCUUGACCAUGAUGGAUCCUUCUGUGUGGCUCCUGGGUUCAUGUGAUGGCUGGAGCUACUCUUGAAAACAGGUUUCUAAAAAUGAGUACGAGGUCUGGGAUGUAGCUCAGUGGUAGAGGACUUGCCUGGUAUGGACAAGGUCCUGAGUUCGAUGCCCAGCACUGCAAGAAAAAAAAAAGUGGUGGUGGCAGUAUUCCGGCGAGGGGAAGGAGGGAAGUAGGUAUUUG